UUCCGGUUGAUCCUGCCAGAGGCUACUGCUAUCGGGGUCCGACUAAGCCAUGCGAGUUGAGAGGGGUAAGCCCUCGGCAUAUUGCUCAGUAACACGCGGAUAACCUGCCCUUGGGUUUGGGAUAACCCCGGGAAACUGGGACUAAUACCGGAUAGAUCAAAGAAACUGGAAUGUUCUCUGAUCGAAAGCUCCGGCGCCCAAGGAUGGGUCUGCGGCCUAUCAGGUAGUAGUGGGUGUAACGUACCUACUAGCCUACGACGGGUAAGGGUUGUGAGAGCAAGAGCCCUGAGAUGGAUUCUGAGACAUGAAUCCAGGCCCUACGGGGUGCAGCAGGCGCGAAAACUUUACACUGCGGGAAACCGCGAUAAGGGGACCCCGAGUGCCAGCACCUAGUGCUGGCUGUCCAGCUGUUCAAAUAACAGUUGUUAGCAAGGGCCGGGCAAGACCGGUGCCAGCCGCCGCGGUAACGCCGGCGGCCCGAGUGGUAGCCGUUAUUAUUGGGUUUAAAGGGUCCGUAGCCGGCCUAUUAAGUCUCUUGGGAAAUCUGGCGACUCAAUCGUCAGGCGUUCAAGAGAUACUGGUAGGCUUGGGACCGGGAGAGGUGGGAGGUACUCCAGGGGUAGGGGUGAAAUCUCGUAAUCCUUGGGGGACCACCGAUGGCGAAGGCAUCCCACCAGAACGGGUCCGACGGUGAGGGACGAAGGCUGGGGGCACGAACCGGAUUAGAUACCCGGGUAGUCCCGGCCGUAAACGAUGCUCGCUAGGUGUCAGGUGCGGUGCGACCGCAUCUGGUGCCGCAGUGAAAACUUGAAGCGAGUCACCUGGGAAGUACGGUCGCAAGGCUGAAACUUAAAGGAAUUGGCGGGGGAGCACUACAACGGGUGGAGCCUGCGGUUCAAUUGGAUUCAACGCCGGG
rnacentral:rRNA from 1 species